rnacentral:rRNA from 1 species
AGACUGAUCGAAAUAAAAGGCAUCUUUUAUUUAAAAGACCUUUUUCGGAAGGUAUGCUUAAAGAGGGGCUUGCGUCACAUUAGUUAGUUGGCAGGGUAAAGGCCUACCAAGACUAUGAUGUGUAGCUGGACUGAGAGGUUGAACAGCCACAUUGGGACUGAGACACGGCCCAAACUCCUACGGGAGGCAGCAGUAGGGAAUUUUCGGCAAUGGAGGAAACUCUGACCGAGCAACGCCGCGUGAACGAUGAAGUAUUUCGGUAUGUAAAGUUCUUUUAUUGAAGAAGAAAAAAUAGUGGAAAAACUAUCUUGACGAUAUUCAAUGAAUAAGCCCCGGCAAACUAUGUGCCAGCAGCCGCGGUAAUACAUAGGGGGCGAGCGUUAUCCGGAAUUAUUGGGCGUAAAGGGUGCGUAGGCGGUUUAAUAAGUCUAUAGUUUAAUUUCAGUGCUUAACACUGUCCUGCUAUAGAAACUAUUAGACUAGAGUGAGAUAGAGGCAAGUGGAAUUCCAUGUGUAGCGGUAAAAUGCGUAAAUAUAUGGAGGAACACCAGAGGCGUAGGCGGCUUGCUGGGUCUUUACUGACGCUGAGGCACGAAAGCGUGGGGAGCAAACAGGAUUAGAUACCCUGGUAGUCCACGCCGUAAACGAUGAGUACUAAGUGUCGGGAUUACUCGGUACUGAAGUUAACACAUUAAGUACUCCGCCUGAGUAGUACGUACGCAAGUAUGAAACUUAAAGGAAUUGACGGGACUCCGCACAAGCGGUGGAUCAUGUUGUUUAAUUCGAAGAUACACGAAAAACCUUACCAGGUCUUGACAUACCUCUGCAAAGCUAUAGCAA